rnacentral:lncRNA from 1 species
CUUGAUACGGAAGGGGGGGGCAUGUCUUCUUCACCUUCUUCUUCGCUACAAUAUAUCCAUUUAUUUCCAAUUGUCAAUGUCAAAAGGGACUAAAAUCUAUAAAAUUCAUAGAAAAUCAACGUGCCAAUUUGCUCAAUUUCUCUAGGACUCCAUGACACCUCCCCUGUCCUCCAUAAUCCCUCAAGCAAGGUGUCAAGACCCUAAUCCUGUCAAAUCACUCUGCCAAGCCUUUCCUCCGGGCAAUGCCAGGUGGCAGACUAUGCAUACAUGGACCAUUGUCUUCGCAUCACCGGUACUCAGGAUGUGCUUAUCUGCGCAUAUCUCCAGCUCUGCAUAUUCCCCCUCCCUCCUCCAUAUGUUAAUCCUGUGUAAC